UACGGAGGAUGCAAGUGUUAUCCGGAAUCACUGGGCGUAAAGCGUCUGUAGGUGGUUUGCUAAGUCCGCUGUUAAAGCUUGAAGCUCAACUUCGAAAAUGCAGUGGAAACUAGUAGACUUGAGUGUGGUAGGGGUAGAGGGAAUUUCCAGUGAAGUGGUGAAAUGCGUAGAUAUUGGAAAGACCACCAAUGGCGAAGGCAAUCUACUGGGCCACAACUGACACUGAGAGACGAAAGCUAGGGGAGCAAAUGGG
rnacentral:rRNA from 1 species